GCUAAGACUCAUGAUGGAUGGAUCUCUACAACUUACAUGUCUUGUGAUUCAUAGUUUUAGACAUAUAUUAUCAAGACUAUCUUAAUAAUGGUUUCGGAAACCCAUAUUAUGUCCAAACAUUGAACCACCAUUUAGUUGUAGCUAGCAAUCUUCGAAUUAAUUGAAAACAAGACUACGUCAAAGAUGGUUUGUUCAAAGUCAACCAAUCUCUUUGAUUGUAGUCACCUUAAGCUAUCAAUUAGCUAUAAAGGUUUCAUUAUUUCGGGUCAAAUGGUACUUUACCAUUUCCUUGAGUAUAUGUCGUAUAUACACUCAAUGUAGUCAUAAGGAUUUUCAUUCUUAUUUCUUUCGAAUUAAGAGGUGCAACUCUAUGACAUGGUCAUAAAGUUCAAACAUUUCACCUCUAUACAAUUUUAACAAAAAGGUAUUGGAUCCAGAUCUAACGAUCCAAAGCAUCCAUCUAUGACCAACUCGUAUUUUAUGAUUUAGAGGUAUCACAAUUUAGUUGAGAUUAGUCACUACCUUGCAACCUUUUGGGUUUUAAGCAUCAUUAUAUUCUAAACAGUUAACACUACCAUAUCAUCUCUACUAUAGAGACAAUCAAUUAGAUUACUAUAAUCCAAUCAUUGAUUAAUAAAGAACAAUGUUUUGUCAAACAAAACAUUCAUCCAUCUCUACUAUAGUGACGGAAUUAAGUUCCUUAUAAUUGGAAUGUAAAGACAAUCUUUAGUUUUUCCAAUUUCUUUGGUAGUUCAUAUGAGGAAGUAAGUACUAUCUGCUUUCGCAGAGAUCUUUAUUUUAUUCACGUUCUGAAUGUGAAGCACCUUUUUCUUCUCUCAUAUAUCUUCUACUUCUUAUUAGUCACACUUUUACAACGAUUGUAAAACAAGUUACUAAUACGGAAUCAAGCAUUCAAGUAGAAGAACCAACUGUUUUGAACUAUUCAAGAACAAUUUUCAACACCUUCGAAAGGUGUGUUCUUGACACUUGCAAGACAUUUCUUGCAAAUACCCCUUCUAAUGUCCAUCCUUUCAUAAAGAAAGUUUGUUCCCUUGGAGUUUAUUUCGCUUUCUUCAUUUGACUUCUCCUUU
rnacentral:lncRNA from 1 species